rnacentral:tRNA from 1 species
AGGGGUAUAGCUCAGUGGUGGAGUGGGUGCUCAGCAUGCAUGAGGGCCUGGGUUCAAUCCCUAGUGCCUUCA